rnacentral:rRNA from 1 species
CUGCGGAGAGAUCAUUG